rnacentral:rRNA from 1 species
UACGAAGGGGGCAAGCGUUGUUCGGAAUUACUGGGCGUAAAGCGUGCGUAGACGGUUAUGUAAGUCAGAUGUGAAAGCCCCGGGCUCAACCUGGGAACUUGCAUUUGUGACUGCAUCGCUGGAGUGCGGCAGAGGGGGAUGGAAUUCCGGCGUGUAGCAGUGAAAUGCGUAGAUAAUGCGGAGGAACACCGAUGGCGAAGGCAGCCCCCUGGGUCAAAACUGACGCUCAUGACACGAAAGCGUGGGGAGCAAACAGG